AUUAGACGAAUCAUCUGGAAAGAUGAAUCAAAGAAGGUAAUAAUCCUGUAGUCGAAAAUGUUGUCUCUCUUGAGUGGAUCCUGAGUACGACGGAGCACGUGAAAUUCCGUCGGAAUCUGGGAGGACCAUCUCCUAAGGCUAAAUACUCUCUAGUGACCGAUAGUGAACCAGUACCGUGAGGGAAAGGUGAAAAGCACCCCGGAAGGGGAGUGAAAUAGAACCUGAAACCGUGUGCUUACAAGUAGUCAGAGCCCGUUAAUGGGUGAUGGCGUGCCUUUUGUAGAAUGAACCGGCGAGUUACGAUUUGAUGCAAGGUUAAGCAGUAAAUGUGGAGCCGUAGCGAAAGCGAGUCUGAAUAGGGCGUUUAGUAUUUGGUCGUAGACCCGAAACCAGGUGAUCUACCCUUGGUCAGGUUGAAGUUCAGGUAACACUGAAUGGAGGACCGAACCGACUUACGUUGAAAAGUGAGCGGAUGAACUGAGGGUAGCGGAGAAAUUCCAAUCGAACCUGGAGAUAGCUGGUUCUCUCCGAAAUAGCUUUAGGGCUAGCCUCAAGUGAUGAUUAUUGGAGGUAGAGCACUGUUUGGACGAGGGGCCCCUCUCGGGUUACCGAAUUCAGACAAACUCCGAAUGCCAAUUAAUUUAACUUGGGAGUCAGAACAUGGGUGAUAAGGUCCGUGUUCGAAAGGGAAACAGCCCAGACCACCAGCUAAGGUCCCAAAAUAUAUGUUAAGUGGAAAAGGAUGUGGCGUUGCCCAGACAACUAGGAUGUUGGCUUAGAAGCAGCCAUCAUUUAAAGAGUGCGUAAUAGCUCACUAGUCGAGUGACACUGCGCCGAAAAUGUACCGGGGCUAAACAUAUUACCGAAGCUGUGGAUUGUCCUUUGGACAAUGGUAGGAGAGCGUUCUAAGGGCGUUGAAGCAUGAUCGUAAGGACAUGUGGAGCGCUUAGAAGUGAGAAUGCCGGUGUGAGUAGCGAAAGACGGGUGAGAAUCCCGUCCACCGAUUGACUAAGGUUUCCAGAGGAAGGCUCGUCCGCUCUGGGUUAGUCGGGUCCUAAGCUGAGGCCGACAGGCGUAGGCGAUGGAUAACAGGUUGAUAUUCCUGUACCACCUAUAAUCGUUUUAAUCGAUGGGGGGACGCAGUAGGAUAGGCGAAGCGUGCGAUUGGAUUGCACGUCUAAGCAGUAAGGCUGAGUAUUAGGCAAAUCCGGUACUCGUUAAGGCUGAGCUGUGAUGGGGAGAAGACAUUGAGUCUUCGAGUCGUUGAUUUCACACUGCCGAGAAAAGCCUCUAGAUAGAAAAUAGGUGCCCGUACCGCAAACCGACACAGGUAGUCAAGAUGAGAAUUCUAAGGUGAGCGAGCGAACUCUCGUUAAGGAACUCGGCAAAAUGACCCCGUAACUUCGGGAGAAGGGGUGCUCUUUAGGGUUAACGCCCAGAAGAGCCGCAGUGAAUAGGCCCAAGCGACUGUUUAUCAAAAACACAGGUCUCUGCUAAACCGUAAGGUGAUGUAUAGGGGCUGACGCCUGCCCGGUGCUGGAAGGUUAAGAGGAGUGGUUAGCUUCUGCGAAGCUACGAAUCGAAGCCCCAGUAAACGGCGGCCGUAACUAUAACGGUCCUAAGGUAGCGAAAUUCCUUGUCGGGUAAGUUCCGACCCGCACGAAAGGCGUAACGAUUUGGGCACUGUCUCAACGAGAGACUCGGUGAAAUCAUAGUACCUGUGAAGAUGCAGGUUACCCGCGACAGGACGGAAAGACCCCGUGGAGCUUUACUGUAGCCUGAUAUUGAAAUUCGGCACAGCUUGUACAGGAUAGGUAGGAGCCUUUGAAACGUGAGCGCUAGCUUACGUGGAGGCGCUGGUGGGAUACUACCCUAGCUGUGUUGGCUUUCUAACCCGCACCACUUAUCGUGGUGGGAGACAGUGUCAGGCGGGCAGUUUGACUGGGGCGGUCGCCUCCUAAAAGGUAACGGAGGCGCUCAAAGGUUCCCUCAGAAUGGUUGGAAAUCAUUCAUAGAGUGUAAAGGCAUAAGGGAGCUUGACUGCGAGACCUACAAGUCGAGCAGGGUCGAAAGACGGACUUAGUGAUCCGGUGGUUCCGCAUGGAAGGGCCAUCGCUCAACGGAUAAAAGCUACCCCGGGGAUAACAGGCUUAUCUCCCCCAAGAGUUCACAUCGACGGGGAGGUUUGGCACCUCGAUGUCGGCUCAUCGCAUCCUGGGGCUGUAGUCGGUCCCAAGGGUUGGGCUGUUCGCCCAUUAAAGCGGUACGCGAGCUGGGUUCAGAACGUCGUGAGACAGUUCGGUCCCUAUCCGUCGUGGGCGUAGGAAAUUUGAGAGGAGCUGUCCUUAGUACGAGAGGACCGGGAUGGACAUACCUCU
rnacentral:rRNA from 1 species